rnacentral:rRNA from 1 species
UACGUAGGGGGCAAGCGUUGUCCGGAAUCAUUGGGCGUAAAGAGCGUGUAGGCGGCCCGAUAAGUCCGCCGUGAAAGUCCAGGGCUCAACCCUGGAAUGCCGGUGGAAACUGUCGGGCUAGAGUCCGGAAGAGGCGAGUGGAAUUCCUGGUGUAGCGGUGAAAUGCGCAGAUAUCGGGAGGAACACCAGUAGCGAAGGCGGCUCGCUGGGCCAUUCCUGACGCUGAGACGCGAAAGCUAGGGGAGCGAACAGG